GGGAUGUUAUGCUUCUCAAUCAGUCCAUAUGACAUAUGAGGAGUUGUUGUCCCUAGAAGAGUGGACUGGCGAUGUUUGUACCGGUUUGAAUGAGGAAACCAUAUCAAACGGAUUGAACCAACAGAAGUACAAAAGUAGCUCCAGGUCUCCACAAGAAGCAGAACCAUGCUGUAUUUGUCAGAAUGGUUGAAGCUGAAGAAUCUUUGCCCAAUUUGCAGAACAACAAAGAAGAAAGAACCUAAAGAAAAAG